AUGGCCUGGACUCUGAUCCUUCUCACCCUCCUCACCCAGGACACAGGGUCCUGGGCCCAGUCUGCCCUGACUCAGUCUCUCUCAGUGUCUGGGCUCUGGGCCAGACAAUUACCAUCUCUUGUUCUGGAAGCAACAAUGACAUUCAGGGUUAUAAGGAUGUCCCCUGGUACCAACAGCUCUCAGCCACAUCCCCCAAACUCCUGUUUUAUCAUGUACAUUCUCAGGCUUCAGGGAUCCCUGAUCGCUUCUCUGGCUCCAAGUCUGGCAACACAGCCACCCUGACCAUCUCUGGGCUUCAGGCUGAGGACAAGGCUGAUUAUUACUGUUGUUUAUAUACAGACAGUGGCACUUACACAGUGGCCCAAGUUCAUGGGGGAGGUAAGACCAAAACCUUCCCUGGGGGCACAGCUCCCUCCUUGCUUUAA